GAUGAAGAACGUAGUGAAAUGCGAUACGUAAUGUGAAUUGCAGAAUUCAGUGAAUCAUCGAGUCUUUGAACGCACAUUGCGCCCCCUGGUAUUCCGGGGGGCAUGCCUGUCCGAGCGUCAUUGCUGCCCUCAAGCCCGGCUUGUGUGUUGGGUCUCGUCCCCCUUCCCGGGGGGACGGGCCCGAAAGGCAGCGGCGGCACCGCGUCCGGUCCUCGAGCGUAUGGGGCUUUGUCACCCGCUCUGUAGGCCCGGCCGGCGCUUGCCGAUCAACCAAAACUUUUUUCCAGGUUGACCUCGGAUCAGGUAGGGAUACCCGCUGAACUUAAGCAUAUCAAUAAGCGGGA
rnacentral:misc_RNA from 1 species